GGCCCGUUCGUCUAGUGGCAGGACGCAUGGUUCUCAUCCAUGCAACGGGAGUUCGAUUCUCCCACGGGCUA
rnacentral:tRNA from 1 species